rnacentral:rRNA from 1 species
UACAGAGGGGGCAAGCGUUGUUCGGAAUUACUGGGCGUAAAGGGCGCGUAGGCGGCCUUCUAAGUCGAACGUGAAAUCCCCAGGCUCAACCUGGGAACUGCGUCUGAUACUGGAUGGCUUGAAUUCGGGAGAGGGAUGCAGAAUUCCAGGUGUAGCGGUGAAAUGCGUAGAUAUCUGGAGGAAUACCGGUGGCGAAGGCGGCAUCCUGGACCGGCAUUGACGCUGAGGAGCGAAAGCUAGGGGAGCAAACGGG